rnacentral:rRNA from 1 species
GACGAACGCUGGCGGCGUGCUUAAUACAUGCAAGUCGAGCGAGGCCCAUCCAGUGGCAACACUGGGGAAGGCCGAGCGGCGAACGGGUGAGUAACACGUGAGCAACCUGCCCCGAAGUCUGGAAUAACAUCGGGAAACCGGUGCUAAUACCGGAUUGCCCCACCUGACCGCAUGAUCGGGUGAGGAAAGAUUUAUCGCUUCGGGAGGGGCUCGCGGCCUAUCAGCUAGUGGCGGGGUAACGGCCCACCAAGGCGUCGACGGGUAGCUGGUCUGAGAGGACGACCAGCCACACUGGGACUGAGACACGGCCCAGACUCCUACGGGAGGCAGCAGUGGGGAAUAUUGGGCAAUGGGCGAAAGCCUGACCCAGCCACGCCGCGUGAGUGAUGAAGGCCUCGGUC